rnacentral:lncRNA from 1 species
CCGCCCCCUCCCGGCCCCAGCUGCUGGCCCAUCUCUACUGCACCCACACCAUUUGCUCCGCUGUCUGGCAAUGAUAAUCCACUAAAGGAUUGUUUCAUCCGAGUGGCGGUGUCCAAGUCAAACGCUGGCAACAGGCAGGGGAACCCAAACCUGUUGAGGCAGACUUCUGCCGCCCUGUGAGGAAUACGGAGCGACAGGCUGCAGGGGCGGGAGGCAAGGGACACGCUAUGCCCA